GGAUUAGAUACCCUGGUAGUCCACGCCCUAAACGAUGGACACUAGGCGUUAGAGGUAUCGACCCCUCUAGUGCCGCAGCUAACGCAUUAAGUGUCCCGCCUGGGGAGUACGCUCGCAAGGGUGAAACUCAAAUGAAUUGACGGGGACCCGCACAAGCGGUGGAGCAUGUGGAUUAAUUCGAUACUAACCGGAGAACCUUACCCAGACUUGACAUCGCGGGAAAGCCUAUGAAAGUGGGCCCUCUUCCCACAAGGAAGACCCAAAGACACCUGUUGCAUGGCUGUCGUCAGCUCGUGUCG
rnacentral:rRNA from 1 species